GGCAGCACCGGGGCCCCAACAGAACCUCGGACCGCACGGACCGCAGGGUCCAGGAUGGGUGCUCAACGUCCCCUACGCACAGGCUUAGCGUGUGACAGUCACAGGAGCGUUCGUGUUUCCAGAACAUUCCAUGGUUCUCGUGGACAGAUGGUUUUCCUCUGUGUAGCAUUUGCUCUCAGUUCUCUCCUGUGCACCUUGCUGAGCCCUCCCAGCCGUGUCCCCCAGCCCUCCAGGCCCUUGGCAAAGCGCAGUGACCCCUCCCGGGUGUGAUGUCCCCUCACGGGUGCUGUGUCCCCAGCAGGGGUAAUGGCCCUUGCCAGGUGUGGCCUGCCGGUCACAGUACACCUGCUCUCUAGUCUGAUUUCCUUGAGCACCUGGUGAACGGCCUGGUAUACAGUAAGUGCUCAGCUGGAUUGUCUGCACUGAUUUGUGCCAUCAGUUUGCACAGAAGUUUGUUCUCCAACUGUGUGUGUUUUUCUCUGCCUAGCUCCUGGCUUCCAGAACCCCAGAUGUGUCUUCCUUCUUCCACACCCACUCGAGCAAAAAGAACUUCAAACAACACGAGCUGGUCACUCCACAAAUAUCACAGAAGGGCAGAGGCGUGAAGAGGAUGAGGCGGUGACCCCCCGGGCCUCCCAAAGCCCGGCCCAACACUGGCCAAGGUCAAGCAGUGCGGCUUCUCAAGGCCUUGGCUCACGGGGCUCCAGGGUGGCAGGCGGCCGGCUGGAAAUCAGGGAGCCACGGCCCUGCAGUCCCAGCCCAGGCCAGCAGGAGGCAGAACGCCCUCUGUUUCUCAAGGUCUGGGCUGAUUGGACAAGGCCCGCCCACACCGUGGACCGUAAAGGUGAUUCACCUGACCACAUCCAGACAUUUCCACCUCACGGAAACCCCACCGAAUCAGCCUCUGGCGCCCGCUGGGUCCCAAGCCCCGCCUCACCUGUCCCCUUGGUUCCUGCACAGCCGGCAGUGCUGUGGGACACGGGGUGGGGGGAGGCCAGAGACAGCCCUGGGACUUGGGGGGACUCCAUGCUCCCCACACUGGCUUCUCCCAAAGUGAGUUCACAAAGCGAGACCGGAAUCUGUUUCAUUUCUAUUUCCCAAAUGCAUUGGCACGCUGGCCACGGACAGAAAGCGUGCUAACUUGCAGACAUGUUAGUGACUUUGCUG
rnacentral:lncRNA from 1 species